rnacentral:rRNA from 1 species
UACGAAGGGGGGCUAGCGUUGCUCGGAAUCACUGGGCGUAAAGCGCACGUAGGCGGCUUACUAAGUCAGGGGUGAAAUCCUGGAGCUCAACUCCAGAACUGCCUUUGAUACUGGUGAGCUUGAGUCCGGAAGAGGUGAGUGGAACUGCGAGUGUAGAGGUGAAAUUCGUAGAUAUUCGCAAGAACACCAGUGGCGAAGGCGGCUCACUGGUCCGGUACUGACGCUGAGGUGCGAAAGCGUGGGGAGCAACAGG